AUACCUACCUGUCAGGGGAGAUAACAUGAUCAAGAAGACAUUUUUAUGGUGUGAGCUCAUCAUUGUACUUGGGAUGAAUUGGCACCUUUGGCUUCCCCAAAUAGGAGAAACAAACUGCAUAAUUAGUGGCGGUAGGAACUGUGCUUGUGGCCUCCUU